rnacentral:rRNA from 1 species
UACGUAGGGUGCGAGCGUUAAUCGGAAUUACUGGGCGUAAAGCGUGCGCAGGCGGUUUUGUAAGACAGAUGUGAAAUCCCCGGGCUUAACCUGGGAACUGCGUUUGUGACUGCAUAACUCGAGUGUGGCAGAGGGGGGUGGAAUUCCACGUGUAGCAGUGAAAUGCGUAGAGAUGUGGAGGAACACCGAUGGCGAAGGCAGCCCCCUGGGUCGACACUGACGCUCAUGCACGCAAGCGGGGGUAGCAAACAGGAGGAGAUAACCCGGUAGUCC